UAACUGGGUGUUAUAUCCUUCUAAUGUUGCCUCUUUGAUUGACCAAAGACUCGGAAGGAAGUAUUAUAUUGAAUACACCGUAUGGGUAACCGUUAUCAUGUUUAUUCUUACAUCAGUAGAACCAUCGAGGUACAAUAAUAAUUUGGGAUUAUUGUGUGGCCAGUGAUGGAUUAUGUCGCGCGUUUUGUAAUACACGCAGUACUGUAAAGUGAAACGAGGUCAUUCUGUUGUGUACUUUAGUCAAAGGAAGAGAAAGAUGGAGUCCCUUAGAAUAAGAAAAUGAAACUGAUUGGAUUUCGUUUUAAAGGAAGAAGAGUCUGAAGCUAACGUGUAUACCUACGAGAGUUCUGACGAAUCACGAAAAAAAAGAAUAACUCAAAGUACUGGUGGCAUGGGUGCAGUGAAUUCGAAAUAUCAACAGCGACCCUCAAAUACAGAAUAUGAAAGAAAAAGACUUCACUAUCUAUGAGUACCAAUAUAAUCUUUAAGCAGUUCAGUGGAUUUUGAAUCCAGACCAGUCAGUCAAGAGAAUUUACCGUAAAUAGAAAAUUAGCAAAAGUGACAGCAACACACGUAUGUUUCGAUUGGUGUGAUAUAUUUUGGACAGGAGUAGCAGACUGCUGUGCAUUGAUUCCAAAAUCUUGACAAAACAACAACUGAACACCUUUUUGUCUCUUUCAAGUAGGAUUGUGCUUUAAACUGACCAAAUCACAAACAUCGACCUGUAAACUAACUAUGUGCAUUUAUUGCUUUAUUGAACAUAACUGUGUAAACCUAAUUUUGUGACUGAAUUCAGUCAUUCUAUUUUUUAUUUUUUGCAGAAUUGGUCUAUUUUCAACAAAUUUUUACUGAAUUUGUGUUGACUGAAUUCAGUCAUCUGUUGUAUAGAUGUUAAUACUAUGUAAUCUCACUUGGUGUAAUUUAAGUCUUAUGAAACACUCUUAUUUAGUUCAAUUUCUUGUAGCUUCUUUCAAAUGUUGUGUGACUGAAUUCAGUCAACAUUUUGUGAAAAUAAUGAACAGGAUACAGAGUUAAUUUCAUUUGGCUGUUUCUGUUAUAUGUUGUUUGUAUUUAAUCUGUAAUAUCUGUAAUCCGAAAUCUGUUUCCGAAUUUACAGUUUGAGCUUUAUUUAAUAAGAAGCAACAAGUACAAAUAAGAUUUAUGUUACUUUCAAAUACACUGAUUGUAUUCUUUGAUAUAAAGAUGAAAUCGAGUGACUGAAUUCAGUCAUUCAAAUAAUAAUAACAAUACAAUGUUUUUUUUUCUUCAUAUGUUGUAAGUUAACAAUACUAAUAAAGUAUUUAUGCAAAUAUUUCUUUGCCACGGUUGACGUUUUAAUACGUUUUAAAUAAAAUGGAAAUGAAAUGAUGCACAUUGCAAACACAUGUUGAAUGUUAAAUGGUAUAAUAUGAUAAAUAAUAUAUCUACUGAGUUCAACCCUUGA